rnacentral:rRNA from 1 species
CCUACGGGAGGCAGCAGUGGGGGCUAUUGCACAAUGGGGGGAACCCUGAUGCAGCGACGCCGCGUGGGUGAAGAAGCGCCUCGGCGCGUAAAGCCCUGUCAGCAGGGAAGAAAAUGACGGUACCUGAAGAAGAAGCCCCGGCUAACUACGUGCCAGCAGCCGCGGUAAUACGUAGGGGGCAAGCGUUAUCCGGAGUUACUGGGUGGAAAGGGGGCGCAGACGGCGAUGCAAGCCAGGAGUGAAAGCCCGGGGCCCAACCCCGGGACUGCUCGUGGAACUGCGUGGCUGGAGUGCAGGAGGGGCAGGCGGAAUUCCUAGUGUAGCGGUGAAAUGCGUAGAUAUUAGGAGGAACACCAGUGGCGAAGGCGGCCUGCUGGACGAUGACUGACGUUGAGGCUCGAAAGCGUGGGGAGCAAACAGGAUUAGAUACCCGGGUAGUC